rnacentral:rRNA from 1 species
UACGUAGGUGGCGAGCGUUGUCCGGAUUUACUGGGCGUAAAGAGCUCGUAGGCGGUUUGUCGCGUCGGGAGUGAAAACACGGGGCUUAACCCCGUGCCUGCUUCCGAUACGGGCAGACUAGAGGUAUGCAGGGGAGAACGGAAUUCCUGGUGUAGCGGUGAAAUGCGCAGAUAUCAGGAGGAACACCGGUGGCGAAGGCGGUUCUCUGGGCAUUACCUGACGCUGAGGAGCGAAAGUGUGGGGAGCGAACAGG